CAGUAGCCACGGUAAUACAGAGGGUGCGAGCGUUAAUAGGAUUUACUGGGCGUAAAGCGUGCGUAGGCGGCUAAUUGAGUCGGAUGUGAAAUCCCCGAGCUUAACUUGGGAAUUGCAUUCGAUACUGGUUAGCUAGAGUGUGGGAGAGGAUGGUAGAAUUCCAGGUGUAGCGGUGAAAUGCGUAGAGAUCUGGAGGAAUACCGAUGGCGAAGGCAGCCAUCUGGCCUAACACUGACGCUGAGGUACGAAAGCAUGGGGAGCAAACAGGAUUAGAUACCCCUGUAGUCCCUGUCUCUUAUAC
rnacentral:rRNA from 1 species